rnacentral:rRNA from 1 species
UACGAAGGGUGCUAGCGUUGUUCGGAAUCACUGGGCGUAAAGCGCGCGUAGGCGGCCAAUCAAGUCAGGGGUGAGAUGCCACGGCUCAACCGUGGAACUGCCUUUGAAACUGAUUGGCUGGAAGAUGAGAGGGGAUAGCGGAAUUUCUGGUGUAGAGGUGAAAUUCGUAGAUACCAGAAGGAACACCGGUGGCGAAGGCGGCUAUCUGGCUCAUUCUUGACGCUCUGGCGCGAAAGCGUGGGGAUCAAACAGG